rnacentral:tRNA from 1 species
UCCCCUAUGGUCUAGUGGCUAGGAUUUCACGUUUUCACCGUGAAGGCCCGGGUUCGACUCCCGAUGGGGGAA